GCCAGUCCGCUUAUCUCUAACAACCUGUCAUGUGAUAACAUUAAAGCAUAAGCACAUGCACUUUUCAUCAUAAGAAAUCCCACAAUCCACCAUUUGGCCAAGCAUAGGUGCUUAGGGGGAGAAGAUUUGUGUUAAGAAAAUGAAUUAGACCUAAUUCCACCCCAAAAACUAGCUUAAGGAGAAGAAGUUUGUCCAAAUCUUAUAUAUAGCA
rnacentral:misc_RNA from 1 species